rnacentral:rRNA from 1 species
AUUGAACGCUGGCGGCAGGCCUAACACAUGCAAGUCGAGCGGUAGAGAGGUGCUUGCAUCUCUUGAGAGCGGCGGACGGGUGAGUAAUGCCUAGGAAUCUGCCUGGUAGUGGGGGAUAACGUUCGGAAACGGACGCUAAUACCGCGUACGUCCUACGGGAGAAAGCAGGGGACCUUCGGGCCUUGCGCUAUCAGAUGAGCCUAGGUCGGAUUAGCUAGUUGGUGAGGUAAUGGCUCACCAAGGCGACGAUCCGUAACUGGUCUGAGAGGAUGAUCAGACACACUGGAACUGAGACACGGUCCAGACUCCUACGGGAGGCAGCAGUGGGAAAUAUUGGACAAUGGGCGAAAGCCUGAUCCAGCCAUGCCGCGUGUGUGAAGAAGGUCUUCGGAUUGUAAAGCACUUUAAGUUGGGAGGAAGGGUACUUACCUAAUACGUGAGUAUUUUGACGUUACCGACAGAAUAAGCACCGGCUAACUCUGUGCCAGCCGCCGCCGUAAUAC